rnacentral:rRNA from 1 species
GACGAACCGUGCGAACGUUAUUCGGAAUCACUGGGCUUAAAGCGCGUGUAGGCGGCCCGGCACGUCCGUCGCUGAAAUCCCCCGGCUCAACCGGGGAAGGGGCGCGGAUACGACCGGGCUGGAGGGGGGUAGGGGGAGCCGGAACUUCCGGUGGAGCGGUGAAAUGCGUUGAGAUCGGAAGGAACGCCCGUGGCGAAAGCGGGCUCCUGGACCCCACCUGACGCUGAGACGCGAAAGCCAGGGAGCGAACGGG